rnacentral:lncRNA from 1 species
CUGUCCUUAAACACUCACUCCUGACCUUACAACCCUGGCUGUUACCUGGUUAACAAGCCCCAGGUGUUGGCUACAGGUGUCAUCACUGAGAGCCCUUGUGUGCAGAUCUGCCCCAGCUCUCCCACCUGUGACUGAGGCUAGCAAGUCCCCCGUGGGCUGUAGAGCCUAGCGCUGGUGUCAGAAUCGCUUGUUGCAGGUUCAUCUUCAGUGUCUUUCCCACAGCCACAUGCUGGGGAAAGACGGCAAAGGCGCUAGAGGAGCAGGAGAACAAAGCAAGCUGCCCCAGACCACCCGGCUUUCGCAGAACCCAGAUGAUGCUCCUGUCUCCCCCUAAGUAUAACGUGUUAUGUAGUCAGUAUGAUCCCAUUCAGUGCAGAAGUAUCGCCUAGGAAUUUCCUGCCCCACCCACCCUGUUUUGUUCUUAAUGAAGUUCAAGAACAAAAUGAGAUGAUAGUCAAGUUAUGGAGCAGGCUGCAGUGGAUACAAGGGCAGAAACACAGUCUUUGGAGUUAGACCUGGGAUCUGCAUUGAUUGGUUGUGUGACUGCAGACAAGUUAUUUAGCCUCAUUAAGGAUGAAUUUCUUCGCAAAAAUUGGAAUAAUACCUGCCCCAUACGACUGUUGUGAGAAUUAAACACCGCAACUUUUGAUGUUCAAAUUCUAUUUCUUCUCCUUCUAGCAACACAUACUGUUAGUGCCAGGAACCAUAAAAAUUAUAAGGCUGUAUCUAGAGGCCUGAAAGGAAGCUAAAAUAUACAGUGUCUACUCUGUCUCUUUUCUCUUGGUUAUGGUAUCAGAGGAAAUACACAUAUUUUCUUAGCUUCAAACCACCAAAAAAGAUGAUGCAGUAAGGAGAUGGGAAAUCUAAUUUGGAAUACAGUGUGCAAAUCUUAUUUUCAAGCAGACUUUGAAAAUAAAACUCAAUUCUUACGUUAGAGGAUUAUCUGCUUAAUACAAUUAUAGGGUACCAGUUUUUGAAGUCACAUCGGGGUUAAAUAAGAUUGCAGGUUCAUGGGGUCAUAUUUGAAUGUUCUGAUACUUACAUAUGGGGUGGGAAGGAGGAAUGCAUGCUUUUCUCAAGUUAAGACACAUAAAAGAGUUGUCCUGGCCCAGGUGAGACUCGCCUUUGUGUAGCAGCUGGAGCUUCAUUCCACAGGCAGAUAGGGUGCUUGUGUCCUGAUGAAGUAAGAGAAUAUAUCUGGAAACACUUUGUGUACUGUGAAAUACUAUACAAAUGCAGGGCAGUACAAAUGUAAAUAUUAAUGUAUUUUAGUAAUAAUUUUAGCUUUUAUUUCAUCAUAUAUAAUAAUUUGUAGUGACUGGUGUGAAGUUAAAUAGAAUUAACCUAGAAUUAAUGAGUUUUGUAUUGCUCUCAUCUAUUUGAAGCAUCAGCUGUGCCUUUCAUGUUGCCUUGUGCAGCCCUGUGUAACCUCCUCUGUGCCUUUCCCAUGGAGCACUGUGUCAUAUCACAAGUAGAACUACAAGAAGAUAUUUCUCCUCAGGGCAGAGGCUGGGUCUUCCGAUUGAAUCUCCCUUCUUUCUUCAUUGAGAUCCUCUUCUUCUGGAAGCUGGUUUCACAUGGUGGCUUAGAUUUUUCCAUCUUUGUAUCUAGCACCAUUUGAAAUCAGUGUUUUAGGAGUAAGAAUUGCAGCACAGCCAAGGGUGGACUGCAGAGGAACUGCUGCUCAUGGAACUGGCUCCUCUCCUCUUGCCACUUGAGUCUGUUCGAGAAGUCCAGGGAAGAACUUGAAGAGCAAAAUACACUCUUGAGUUUGUUGGGUUUUGGGAGAGGUGACAGUAGAGAAGGGGGUUGUGUUUAAAAUAAACACAGUGGCUUGAGCAGGGGCAGAGGUUGUGAUGCUAUUUCUGUUGACUCCUAGCAGCCAUCACCAGCAUGAAUGUGUUCGUAGGGCCUUUGAGUGUGGCGAUUGUCAUAUUCUGUUGGAUAACAAUGUAUUGGGUGUCGAUUGUCAUGGGGCAGGGGAGAGGGCAGUACACCUGGAGGACCAUUUUGUCCACAUCGACACCAUCAGUCUGCUCUUAGAGGAUGCCCUGGAGUAUUCGGCGUUGAUUGCGGGGCACCCGAAAUCAGACUUGCCACCUGGACUGUCGAGGUGCAGACCCUGGGAGCACCACUGGCCCAUCUCUUACACAGGCUGACCGAUUUCUCCUGGUGUUCAGAGUCUGUUUUUGUCUAGCACCAUUUGAAAUCGGUUAUGAUGUAGGGGGAAAAGCAGCAGCCUCGAAGCCUCAUGCCAACUCUGGGCAGCAGCAGCCUGUGGUUUCCUGGAAGAUGGAUGGGCAGAGAAUAGGGAAGGAAGAUCAUGCUUUUCCCUACUAACUUCUGUAACUGCAUGUAUGAUACAUUAUUGCAGAGGUAAGAGAUAGUUUAAUGGAUUUUUAAAAACAAAUUACUAUAAUUUAUCUGAUGUUCUCUAGUUGCAUUUUGCUGAAAUGUAGUGCUGUUCUAAAUUCUGUAAAUUGAUUGCUGUUGAAUUAUCUUUCUGUUGAGAAGAGUCUAUUCAUGCAUCCUGACCUUAAUAAAUACUAUGUUCAGUUU